GAUGAACGCUAGCGGCAGGCCUAAUACAUGCAAGUCGAACGGUGUAGCAAUACACAGUGGCGCACGGGUGCGUAACACGUAUGCAACCUACCUAUUAUUGGGGGAUAGCCUUUGGAAACGGAGAUUAAUACCGCAUAAGACAGUGACAUGGCAUCAUGUAGCUGUUAAAGAUUUGGCGAUAAUAGAUGGGCAUGCGUCCAAUUAGCUAGUUGGUGAGGUAAUGGCUCACCAAGACGAUGAUUGGUAGGGGGUCUGAGAGGAUAAUCCCCCACACUGGCACUGAGAUACGGGCCAGACUCCUACGGGAGGCAGCAGUAGGGAAUAUUGGGCAAUGGACGGAAGUCUGACCCAGCCAUGCCGCGUGCAGGAUGACGGCGUUAUGCGUUGUAAACUGCUUUUUAUAGGAAGAAGAAGCCCUUGCGAGGGAAAGUGACGGUACUAUAAGAAUAAGCACCGGCUAACUCCGUGCCAGCCGCCGCGGUAAUAC
rnacentral:rRNA from 1 species